CUUGCUUCUCUUGAGAGCGGCGGACGGGUGAGUAAUGCCUAGGAAUCUGCCUGGUAGUGGGGGAUAACGUUCGGAAACGGACGCUAAUACCGCAUACGUCCUACGGGAGAAAGCAGGGGACCUUCGGGCCUUGCGCUAUCAGAUGAGCCUAGGUCGGAUUAGCUAGUUGGUGAGGUAAUGGCUCACCAAGGCGACGAUCCGUAACUGGUCUGAGAGGAUGAUCAGUCACACUGGAACUGAGACACGGUCCAGACUCCUACGGGAGGCAGCAGUGGGGAAUAUUGGACAAUGGGCGAAAGCCUGAUCCAGCCAUGCCGCGUGUGUGAAGAAGGUCUUCGGAUUGUAAAGCACUUUAAGUUGGGAGGAAGGGCAUUAACCUAAUACGUUAGUGUUUUGACGUUACCGACAGAAUAAGCACCGGCUAACUCUGUGCCAGCAGCCGCGGUAAUACAGAGGGUGCAAGCGUUAAUCGGAAUUACUGGGCGUAAAGCGCGCGUAGGUGGUUUGUUAAGUUGGAUGUGAAAUCCCCGGGCUCAACCUGGGAACUGCAUUCAAAACUGACUGACUAGAGUAUGGUAGAGGGUGGUGGAAUUUCCUGUGUAGCGGUGAAAUGCGUAGAUAUAGGAAGGAACACCAGUGGCGAAGGCGACCACCUGGACUAAUACUGACACUGAGGUGCGAAAGCGUGGGGAGCAAAC
rnacentral:rRNA from 1 species